rnacentral:rRNA from 2 species
GGGUUGUGAGGUUAAGCGACUAAGCGUACACGGUGGAUGCCCUGGCAGUCAGAGGCGAUGAAGGACGUGCUAAUCUGCGAAAAGCGUCGGUAAGGUGAUAUGAACCGUUAUAACCGGCGAUGUCCGAAUGGGGAAACCCAGUGCAAUUCGUUGCACUAUCGUUAACUGAAUACAUAGGUUAACGAGGCGAACCGGGGGAACUGAAACAUCUAAGUACCCCGAGGAAAAGAAAUCAACCGAGAUUCCCCCAGUAGCGGCGAGCGAACGGGGAGCAGCCCAGAGUCUGAAUCAGCUUGUGUGUUAGUGGAACGGUCUGGAAAGUCCGACGGUACAGGGUGAUAGUCCCGUACACCAAAAUGCACAGGUUGUGAACUCGAAGAGUAGGGCGGGACACGUGGUAUCCUGUCUGAAUAUGGGGGGACCAUCCUCCAAGGCUAAAUACUCCUGACUGACCGAUAGUGAACCAGUACCGUGAGGGAAAGGCGAAAAGAACCCCGGCGAGGGGAGUGAAAAAGAACCUGAAACCGUGUACGUACAAGCAGUGGGAGCACCUUCGGGUGUGACUGCGUACCUUUUGUAUAAUGGGUCAGCGACUUAUAUUCUGUAGCAAGGUUAACCGUAUAGGGGAGCCGCAGGGAAACCGAGUCUUAACUGGGCGUUAAGUUGCAGGGUAUAGACCCGAAACCCGGUGAUCUAGCCAUGGGCAGGUUGAAGGUUGGGUAACACUAACUGGAGGACCGAACCGACUAAUGUUGAAAAAUUAGCGGAUGACUUGUGGCUGGGGGUGAAAGGCCAAUCAAACCGGGAGAUAGCUGGUUCUCCCCGAAAGCUAUUUAGGUAGCGCCUCGUGAACUCAUCUUCGGGGGUAGAGCACUGUUUCGGCUAGGGGGUCAUCCCGACUUACCAACCCGAUGCAAACUACGAAUACCGAAGAAUGUUAUCACGGGAGACACACGGCGGGUGCUAACGUCCGUCGUGAAGAGGGAAACAACCCAGACCGCCAGCUAAGGUCCCAAAGUCAUGGUUAAGUGGGAAACGAUGUGGGAAGGCACAGACAGCCAGGAUGUUGGCUUAGAAGCAGCCAUCAUUUAAAGAAAGCGUAAUAGCUCACUGGUCGAGUCGGCCUGCGCGGAAGAUGUAACGGGGCUAAACCAUGCACCGAAGCUGCGGCAGCGACACUAUGUGUUGUUGGGUAGGGGAGCGUUCUGUAAGCCUGCGAAGGUGUGCUGUGAGGCAUGCUGGAGGUAUCAGAAGUGCGAAUGCUGACAUAAGUAACGAUAAAGCGGGUGAAAAGCCCGCUCGCCGGAAGACCAAGGGUUCCUGUCCAACGUUAAUCGGGGCAGGGUGAGUCGACCCCUAAGGCGAGGCCGAAAGGCGUAGUCGAUGGGAAACAGGUUAAUAUUCCUGUACUUGGUGUUACUGCGAAGGGGGGACGGAGAAGGCUAUGUUAGCCGGGCGACGGUUGUCCCGGUUUAAGCAUGUAGGCUGGUUGUCCAGGCAAAUCCGGAUAAUCAAGGCUGAGGUGUGAUGACGAGGCACUACGGUGCUGAAGUAACAAAUGCCCUGCUUCCAGGAAAAGCCUCUAAGCAUCAGGUAACAUUAAAUCGUACCCCAAACCGACACAGGUGGUCAGGUAGAGAAUACCAAGGCGCUUGAGAGAACUCGGGUGAAGGAACUAGGCAAAAUGGUGCCGUAACUUCGGGAGAAGGCACGCUGGUGUGUAGGUGAAGCCCCUGCGGGUGGAGCUGAGACCAGUCGAAGAUACCAGCUGGCUGCAACUGUUUAUUAAAAACACAGCACUGUGCAAACACGAAAGUGGACGUAUACGGUGUGACGCCUGCCCGGUGCCGGAAGGUUAAUUGAUGGGGUUAUCCGUAAGGAGAAGCUCUUGAUCGAAGCCCCGGUAAACGGCGGCCGUAACUAUAACGGUCCUAAGGUAGCGAAAUUCCUUGUCGGGUAAGUUCCGACCUGCACGAAUGGCGUAAUGAUGGCCAGGCUGUCUCCACCCGAGACUCAGUGAAAUUGAACUCGCUGUGAAGAUGCAGUGUACCCGCGGCAAGACGGAAAGACCCCGUGAACCUUUACUAUAGCUUGACACUGAACAUUGAGCCUUGAUGUGUAGGAUAGGUGGGAGGCUUUGAAGCGUGGACGCCAGUCUGCGUGGAGCCAACCUUGAAAUACCACCCUUUAAUGUUUGAUGUUCUAACGUUGGCCCCUUACCGGGGUUGCGGACAGUGUCUGGUGGGUAGUUUGACUGGGGCGGUCUCCUCCCAAAGCGUAACGGAGGAGCACGAAGGUUAGCUAAUCCUGGUCGGACAUCAGGAGGUUAGUGCAAUGGCAUAAGCUAGCUUGACUGCGAGCGUGACGGCGCGAGCAGGUGCGAAAGCAGGUCAUAGUGAUCCGGUGGUUCUGAAUGGAAGGGCCAUCGCUCAACGGAUAAAAGGUACUCCGGGGAUAACAGGCUGAUACCGCCCAAGAGUUCAUAUCGACGGCGGUGUUUGGCACCUCGAUGUCGGCUCAUCACAUCCUGGGGCUGAAGUAGGUCCCAAGGGUAUGGCUGUUCGCCAUUUAAAGUGGUACGCGAGCUGGGUUUAGAACGUCGUGAGACAGUUCGGUCCCUAUCUGCCGUGGGCGCUGGAGAAUUGAGGGGGGCUGCUCCUAGUACGAGAGGACCGGAGUGGACGCAUCACUGGUGUUCGGGUUGUCAUGCCAAUGGCACUGCCCGGUAGCUAAAUGCGGAAGAGAUAAGUGCUGAAAGCAUCUAAGCACGAAACUUGCCCCGAGAUGAGUUCUCCCUGAGACUUUAAGUCUCCUGAAGGAACGUUGAAGACGACGACGUUGAUAGGCCGGGUGUGUAAGCGCAGCGAUGCGUUGAGCUAACCGGUACUAAUGAACCGUGAGGCUUAACCUUACAACGCCGAAG